AUCUGACCUCAAAUCAGGUAGGACUACCGCUGA
rnacentral:rRNA from 3 species